rnacentral:misc_RNA from 1 species
GAGUUAGGGUACUCUUCGUGCCCGACCUCCAACCCUUUGUCUACCUGACCAGAUGUUGCUUCGGCAGGCCCGCCGCCCCGCGAGGAGCAGCCGCCGGGGGUCCUUACCGGCCCCGGGUCCGUGCCUGUCGAUGGCCCUUCUAAAACUCUUGCUUAAACGUGUCGUCUGAGUAAAACAAACAAAAUAAAAACAAAACUUUCAACAACGGAUCUCUUGGUUCU